AGACGCAGGGUUGAUCCCUGGGUCAGGAAGAGUCCUCCUCCCUGAAGGAGUGCAUGUGAACCCAUUCCACUUCUUGCUUGGAGAAUCCCAAGGACAGAAGAGCCUGGCAGGCUACUGUAGAUAGGGUGGCAAAGAGUAACAGGACUGAAGCGACUUUGCAUGCACACAUAUUGCUUUUUAUAUUUUGAUGUUUUAUCCCUGUAUGAUCCUUAAGGUGAGUUCCAUCUUAAUUGAUGAUUAUAAUCUUUAGUUCCAUGAAAUAGCCUCUGUUUCAUUAAUAAUUUUUUUGCCUUGAAUCUAAUCCUGUUUGAUAAUAAGAUCAAAAUCUCAGACUUUUUUCAUUUUGGAUUUAGUUUAUAUAUCUUCCCAGCUAUACCUUAAUUUUAAAUUUAAUGCUUUUUAAAAUGUAUAUUUAAAGCUUAAUUUUAGUUUGUCUAGUUCAUAUCCUCAGGUAAUUUCCUUAGACCUUGUAGUAUCAGUAGCAUGUUUCAAAGACUUUCAAAGGAGGAAAAUGGCUUACUUUCUUUUUGAAUACUGUCCAUAAAUGAUAUAUUGGUGGGUAGAGAAUCCUUGGAUCAUGACCCUUUCUUCAGAACUCUAUAUUCUACUCUUUGACUCUGACCUUGAAACCGACCACUUGGAAAACCAUUUUUUCCUCUCUGUGUCUUUGGUCUAUUAGUGCUCAUGUGCAUGUGCAGGUGGUGAUGGUGGGAAAUCAUACCUUUCUCUCACGAGUUCUCACUGUGACGUCAUUAUCUCCAGGUACCCCGGAAGAAGUUCUGGGUUGAAAAGCCAAUCAGUCCUGCAAUCAAAUAUUGGACAGAGAAUUUUCAGAUAUACUUCUUUCUUCAGAGAAAGGACUCAGAGAAUUCAAUCAUAAAGAAGGGGAUUCUCAAACUAGAAAUCUUCUUUCUUUCUCUAUAAUGUGUCCUUAGGUUCUGAGCAUGACUGUGACUUCUCAGAGCUCCUUGCUCCUGUGUGUGUCAUUCACACCAGGAAGGGACGCUGAGGAGGGAAUCUAAGUCCAAACUACAUGAUAGUCUAAGAAUGGAACCCAGACUAAAAUAGAGUCACAGUCAGAGGUCUCCAGAUGGUAAAAAGAUAUUUCAUAUCUAACAGUGAGGUAAAAAGAACUUUGGGGUACAAGUGUGGCAUUUCCUCAAAAAAUUAAAAAUAUAAUUACCAUAUGGUAGCAUUCCCACUCUCCAAAGAAUUAAAAGCAGAAUCUCAAAGAGAUCUUUGCACUCUCACGUUCAUAGCAGCAUUAUUCACCACAGAUGGGAUGUAGGAACAGCCCAAAUGCCCAUCGAUGGAUGAAUGGAGAAACAAUAUGGCAUAUGCAGACGAUGGAAUACUAUCCAACCUAAAAAAGGAAGGAAAUUGUGCCAUGUACUACAUCAUGGUUGAACCUCGAGGACAUUAGGAUAAGUGAAAUAAGUCAGUCACAAAGAGACAAGUAAUAUAUGAUUCCAUGUACAUGAGGUCUCUAAAGGAGUCAAAUCCAUAGGAACAGAAAGUAGUUUAGUGGUUGCCAGGGUUUGAGAGGAGGGGGAAAUGAAGAGCUGCUGUUUAAUGGGUAUAGAGUUUCAGUUUUUUGUUGUUGUUUUUUUUUUUAGAGUUUCAGUUUUAAAAACAGAAAAGUUCUGGAAAUCAAUUUCAUAGUUAUUUAAAUAUACUUAACAUUAAUGAUUAAUGAUUAACUGACUCAUUGGAAAAGACCCUGAUGCUGGGAAGAUUGAAGGCAGUACGAGAAGGGGAUGAGAGAGGGCGAGAUGGCUUGAUCGCAUCACCAACUUGAUGGCCAUGAGUCUGAGCAAUUUCGGGAAUUGGUGAUGGACAGGGAAGCCUGGCGUGCUGCAGUCCAUGAGAUUGCAAGGAGUCGGACAUGACUGAGCGACUGAAAUGAACUGAACAUUAAUGAAUUAUACAUUUAAAAAUAGUAAAGAUGGUAAAUGUCAUGUUUUUUUAUCACAAUGAAAAAUUUUUUUAACAAUUUAAAGAAUACCGAGAGAAUUAAUCUCAAAGAGGUAUCUUUGAGAGUGGAGAGAAACAGUGUGGUUUAGGACAUAGUUUAACAACAAGUGGUAUGCCCAACUGCUGCUGCUGCUAAGUCGCUUUAGUCGUGUCUGACUCUGUGCGACCCCAUAGACAGCAGCCACCAGGCUGCCCCCGUCCCUGGGAUUCUCCAGGCAAGAAUAGUGGAGUGCGUUGCCAUUUCCUUCUCCAGGUAUGCCCAAAGGUGCUCUUUAACGAAGCACCAGGUGGGUUCAGCACUUUUUGGUAUACAUACUUACAAGAAUCAAUUUAGACCGCACAGGUCUGAGCGUCUCCUGAAUUGUUUUCUCUAUUUCACUUGAAUUUUCAUGGUGCCCUGUCAUCAUCUAAAGUUAAAUGAGCCAAAGGAAGAGAACUUGACCUAAAGCUGUGGUGUUAAAAUUGCUUGUUGUUGGGAAUCCCUGGUGGUCCAGUGGGUAGGACUCCACGCUUUCACUGCCAUCGGCCUGCGUUCAAUCCCUGGUCUUCCGGGAGGCCAAGCAGUGUGACUAAAGAAAAAAAAAAAGAAAGAAUUGCUCAUUGUCCUUUUGUUCUUUUACUCUAGGAAAAUUGAUGAGGGAUCUGGAAUAUAAGAAAAGUGAAUAUCUGGAGGGGAGAGUGGCUGAAGUUUGCAACAUUCCCGUGAAGGUCCAUUACUCACAGGCACAAACUGUUCCCACUCCAAAGGGGAAACACCUGUCAUCUAACUCUGUCUGUAUGGAGACACUCUGGCAUCAAAUUUCUAGGGGUCACCUUCAGCUCAUACCCUAGGACGUACAUUCUGAUCCUCUAGCUGGGCUGGAGCUCACCACGCAUCAGUGUUAUUCUCCUUUUGGACAUAAGUCAUCUCACAGAAGAUCAGCAUCAGACAAGGACAUCUGAGUGCGUGACACAGAGAGACAAAACCAGAACACGACGGCAUUCUGCACCAGCUCAGACCAACCAGGCAGCCCUGUGCCCUCACCAUGUACCAAACCUCCCCCUGAGCUGAUCCAGAGACCACUGCCUCCUCCCAGUCACCGCUGUGUCCUCACUCUAGUCUGCCCUCCCUAGAGCAGAGGCUCAUGAGGUGCCCAGUCCUAGAGUUGCCCCCAUUUCCCGACAAUACCCAGUCUAGAGUGAGCCAGUCUUGCAUAGACGCUUCUCAGAAUCAAAGCCCACAUCCUGUAUAUCAGCGGUCCUCAACAUUUUGGCACCAGGAACUGAUUUCAUGGAAGACAAUUUUUCCAUGGACAGGGGGUGGGAGGAAUGGUUUCAGGAUGAUUCAAGCACAGUAGAUUUAUUGUACACUUUACUUCUAAUCUAAUGUUGGCACUGAUCUGACAGGAGGUACCAGUCCAAGCUCAGAGUUUGGGGACUUGUGGCUGUAUAUGUUCUAAUACCUUACAAGGAUACUAUCGUCCCUGAUGCUCUGUGAUCUCCCUUGCUGUAUCCAGUAUAAAUCCAACUUGACUGCCCACAGAUUUGUUCCUGGUGGUCUUUGGCUGAAGAACAAUGAGUCAUGUCACCUGUAUGCCAAAAAUUUUUUUGUGUCUCCAUUGGAAUAGGGGCAUAUGUUUGUAUCUUGUGAGUGAUUGACAUAGGAACGAUUUAUAUGCUUUGAUGGCUUUUCAUCUUUGGGUCACAAAACUCUUCAUUCCACAAGUGUAAAAAAUUCAUGGAUAUUUUUGUCUAGGAGAGAGGGGUCUAAGGGUGAAGGGAAACAGAACUGAUGGAAUUUGGGGAGAAAGUACAGCAGGAGCAGUAAGUAGAAAGUAAUAAGGUGGUGAAUUCUAACAUUGCAUCUUCUGCUUCAUAACUUUACAAGUAUGUACAAGUCCCACAAAGUAUUGAUAUCUGUUGUGUUCAAUAAACACGUCCUCUUGGGCUAAAUGAA